UGGGGAAUAUUGCACAAUGGGCGCAAGCCUGAUGCAGCCAUGCCGCGUGUAUGGAGAAGGCCUUCGGGUUGUAAAGUACUUUCAGUCGGGAGGAAGGUGGUAAGGUUAAUAACCUUAUCAAUUGACGUUACCGACAGAAGAAGCACCGGCUAACUCCGUGCCAGCAGCCGCGGUAAUACGGAGGGUGCAAGCGUUAAUCGGAAUUACUGGGCGUAAAGCGCACGCAGGCGGUUGAUUGAGUCAGAUGUGAAAUCCCCGGGCUUAACCCGGGAAUUGCAUCUGAUACUGGUCAGCUAGAGUCUUGUAGAGGGGGGUAGAAUUCCAUGUGUAGCGGUGAAAUGCGUAGAGAUGUGGAGGAAUACCGGUGGCGAAGGCGGCCCCCUGGACAAAGACUGACGCUCAGGUGCGAAAGCGUGGGGAGCAAACAGG
rnacentral:rRNA from 1 species